CCGCUCCCAAAGAAAUAGCUCUCAUCUUUUGGCGGGUUACACCUGAGAAAACCGGGCUUUGUAAUUAGCAAGAUAGAGAUCUCCAUGAUUCGAAAUACGUGCUAAGCCGGUGGCAGCUCCUGCCCACCCAGGCACAGACGACGCCAACGCAGAGAUAACCUGAAGAGAUGCGGUUCCAGGGAAAUCUAAUCUCAACCCAGAAAUAACGGCCUCUUCUCGGGAAACAGCCAUCUUGAAACAGGCUCCCCGGGAUGGCAAGAGCACUGAAUGAGGUUUGGGGGAUCAAACUCAGGCUCCCGUCUGUACUUGCAUGGAAAGCACUGAGCCAUCGACAGAGCCCUGCACCGCCUUUUGGAUCCCAGCAUGAACAAACAGCUAUAUAAACGUAUGCAUGUUUUUAAUGUAACCAGUGCCAGCAUUACUGGGUACAGUUUAGCACAUACGCAGUAUAUGUGAUGUGUAAAAUAUACUUCCGUUCUUUCCUAUCUCGCUGUCGAGCGUAUUGGCCACAUUUGGGACAUGGUCUGACACAGACUACAUUGACGGUAUAAGCUGGAGUUCCGAAUCACAAUUGCCCCGCUGGGGUUUGACUGUGUUCCUAAGUCCUGAUCCCCACUGACUCCCCAAACACAAAAACAGACCUGGGAGUAGCAUUUUCAUGUCAAGGAGGACUCCAAGACAGGAGAUCUCAGUUAGGCUUCGUUUCAGUGAGAAUAGUCUUUGACAUUCAUCAAACCUCUCUAUCCCAGAGUCUCUACACAGACCUUUGGAGGGGGAAGGGACACUGGCAAAGUCCUGGAGUGACUGGCUUGUUGUCUUAGUUUGAUCCUGUGACUGUGAUAAAAUGCUGACCAGAGCCUACGUGGGCAUGAGAGGAUUAUUUUGCUUUAUGCUUUCAGGUCCCAGUUCGUCACUGAUGGAGUCAGGCAGGAACAUGGAGGCAGGAACUGAUGCAGAAGCCAUGGAGGAAUGCUGUGUAUUGGCUCAUUCUUACGGCUUCUUCAGUUUGGUAAAACCCGGAGAUGGCUAUGCCCCGUACACUGGAGACUGGGCCCUCCCACAAAAACCUUAACUAAGAAAUGCCCUAUAGAUUUGUCUACAGGCCAACACAAUGAGAGCGUUUUCUUCAUUGAGGCUCCAUUCUUGUGGAUAGCUUGUG
rnacentral:sRNA from 1 species